rnacentral:tRNA from 1 species
GCCUAGUUAGCUUAGUUGGUAGUGCGUCUGCCUUGUAAGCGCUAGGCCGCGGGUUCGAUUCCUGCCCGGGCG